CCUACGGGCGGCAGCAGUGAGGAAUAUUGGUCAAUGGACGAGAGUCUGAACCAGCCAAGUAGCGUGAAGGAUGACUGCCCUAUGGGUUGUAAACUUCUUUUAUAUGGGAAUAAAAUGUUCCACGUGUGGGAUUUUGUAUGUACCAUAUGAAUAAGGAUCGGCUAACUCCGUGCCAGCAGCCGCGGUAAUACGGAGGAUCCGAGCGUUAUCCGGAUUUAUUGGGUUUAAUGGGAGCGUAGGUGGAUUGUUAAGUCAGUUGUGAAAGUUUGCGGCUCAACCGUAAAAUUGCAGUUGAAACUGGCAGUCUUGAGUACAGUAGAGGUGGGCGGAAUUCGUGGUGUAGCGGUGAAAUGCUUAGAUAUCACGAAGAACUCCGAUUGCGAAGGCAGUUCACUGGACUGCAACUGACACUGAGGCUCGAAAGUGUGGGUAUCAAACAGGAUUAGAUACCCCUGUAGUC
rnacentral:rRNA from 1 species